rfam:Vavraia culicis subsp. floridensis unplaced genomic scaffold supercont1.65, whole genome shotgun sequence.
GCGUAUAUGGUUCAAUGGUAGAAUGGCGCCUUCCCAAGGCGUUGACCCGGGUUCGAUUCCCGGUAUGCGCA